rnacentral:lncRNA from 1 species
AUGGCUCCCCAGUGCGCUCACACCUGUGAACCAACGAGGCGCGCAGGGGAGAUCAGGAAAAGCCGGUUUCCUGGCUGCGCUGGCAUUUGCUCAAAGGAACGUGAAACUCAAGACUCUCAUGGUGUUCAUUUAAUAUCGAACAGAAACGCUGGCGAGGAUGUGGUGGAAGACAGCGGAAUGGGAGGAAGACACGCAGCCUCCCAGCGUGACGUUGCUUCCAGGAAAACACAAGGAGAUGAAAUCUGUAAGGAUGUGCAGCGACACGCACGGCUGGCUGCCGACGGCCUGCGUGCAAUGGAGCGCGGGCUCAGCUCAUCCGAGGCUGCCUGCCCUUCGUCAGAGCUGGGAGCUGAGCGUGUGCACCGGUACUCGGCUUCGAAUCCUGCGUGUCCAAACCAGCCUGAAGUCGCUCUGGGUGCCCAUGUUUGGAGCCUCGCCUUGGUGGUCCAUCCCUGCCCCCAGCAGAUUGGCUGCCGCCUCUUGUGCUGUGACGCCUGCCUCCACCUCCAGAACUCUCAAAAGCUGCAUGUGGUGUCCAGCAUCGUUCUGCUGGCUGUUUGUGCAAUGGUUCCCGUGAGCAGUCAGGCCCGCGAGACAGCUCUGGGACAGCGCUUCUCCAAACUUCACUGUGCGGUCACUCAGAUCGUCUGGGGAUCUCACCAACAUCUGGUUCAGGAGACCUGGGAGCACUUGGUCUGCAUCUCGGGGGUGUUCUACAUUAGGAGCAAGGGCUCCCUGCUCCCAGGUGCCCAGAGACCAACACCGUGGCACCAGCUUCCGAGAAAAGAGACGCUGUGUCUGCAAGGCUGA